UCCAACAGCAGGUCUGGGCCUGGCCAGUACUUGGAUGGGAGACCAAGUGGGAAUGCUGGGUUGCAGCUGGAU
rnacentral:rRNA from 1 species